AUACUCUGGUUUCUCUUCAGAUUGUAUAAAUCUUUUGCCUUUUACUAAAGAUUCCCAUGGAAAGGAACAUUUAUGUCUCAGAGUUCAAUAUUAUAAACAUCUACUUUCUCUAUGCU
rnacentral:snRNA from 1 species